AAGUCGUAACAAGGUUUCCGUAGGUGAACCUGCGGAAGGAUCAUUAACGAAUCAUUAAGGUGGGUUGUUAGGGGGGAGGAGGAUUAGUGCGUAAGCACUAAUCUGACCUGACCCAACCCAACCCAACAUUAACCCGACCGCAAGGUCAGGUCCUUUUUGUGGUGUAGGUGCUUCCUCUUGGGGGAGCGGCUUAGCCCACACAUUAAUGCCUGUAUGUUUGACUGUUUAUACUAUACGAAUAUAUAUACAACUUUUAACAAUGGAUCUCUUGGCUCUU
rnacentral:misc_RNA from 1 species